UAUUCCUGAGACAUGGCCAACAUCUCUGCAAACACAGGCAACUUGUGAGAAGUCAGUGGGAGGGGAGGGGAGGAAGACCCUUCAGAGCUGCAGAGAAAGAGGAUGUGAUGGGACAGCUCCAGAUGAGAUGGUACAGCACAGGUGUUGGCCUGUCACGAGCCCCUGACUGAGGACUGAACUAGAAUCAAAUAACUGGAAGAAAGUGACCCUGGGUCAGACGACCAGCCCCUCAAAUAUUCACACUGCUCUCACCACUGAGGACCUUUCAGAUGAGAACAGAGGUGUUAUUCUACCCCCCAUCUGAGCUUCUCAAUGCAUGGGAUGGAGUACGUGGGCCUUUUACUAUGAAAGCCUUUCAUUUUCCUUUCCACAAGGGAAACCUCGGCUUCUUCAGAGCAAUACAGGACAAUGUCAAAAACCUCAGAAAUACCCUUUGUGACCAUGACACCCAAAGUUUCACCUGGCAAGAAGACAGGAAAAAACUCCAAUUUCUAUAGCAGAGUAGAGACUGCCAUCCAUUCCAUAGACAGUCUGUUCACUUUUCCUUCUUUGUGACUUUCAUUGACAGACUUCUUCUUCAAACAGUCUCUAGACAUGUCUGUUCUCUUGGCAAAAGUAAAGGUCAAAAUAUGGAUCAACUUCUGGAGAGUUUAGAUUUCAGACCCCUCUAAAAGUGGCAAAAUGUCAGGCAGUCAGGAAUUUAAUGUUGUAUCUUAUAUUUUCCAUUCCCUUCAGGAACUGUUUUCUAAUCUAUAAUGUGAUAAGUCACAUGAAAGAGAAAAGAAUCUUGAUGGAGAGGGGAGCUGAGCUAUUCUGGUAAACAUGUGAAUCUCAAGCUAUCCACUACAGGUGAAACAAGACAAGGUAGAACUUGAGCUGAUGUCUAAGGCACUAGGAGGCAGAAACCAAAGAAAACCCGUUUCCAUUUUCAGAAAGGUCUAGGAAGGUAGUCCAUUUCCAUCCAAAUACAUCCAAGGACUAGAGCAGGCCUGUACAACAUAUAAACUGUGCAUAUAAACUGUGUCCACAAAAUCCAA